UACGUAGGGUGCGAGCGUUAAUCGGAAUUACUGGGCGUAAAGCGUGCGCAGGCGGCUCGCUAAGACCGAUGUGAAAUCCCCGGGCUUAACCUGGGAACUGCAUUGGUGACUGGCGAGCUAGAGUGUGGCAGAGGGGGGUAGAAUUCCACGUGUAGCAGUGAAAUGCGUAGAGAUGUGGAGGAAUACCGAUGGCGAAGGCAGCCCCCUGGGAUAACACUGACGCUCAUGCACGAAAGCGUGGGGAGCAAACAGG
rnacentral:rRNA from 1 species